rnacentral:rRNA from 1 species
CUCUAACACAUACAUGUCGAAGCGGUAACAGGAAGCAGCUUUUCUCUUUCGCUGACGAGUGGCGGACGGGGUGAGUAAUGUCUGAGAAUCUCCUCGAUGGAGGGGGAUAACUACUGGAAACGGUAGCUAAUACCGCAUAAGGUCGCAAGACCAAAGGAGGGAGACCUUCGGGCCUCUCGCCAUUGGAUGUGCCCAGAUGGGAUUAGCUAGUAGGUGGGGUAACGGCUCACCUAGGCGACGAUCCCUAGCUGUUCUGAGAGGAUGACCACCCACACUGGAAUUGAGACACGGUCCAGACUCCUACGGAAGGCAGCAGUGGGAAAUAUUGCACAAUGGGCGCAAGCCUGAUGCAGCCAUGCCGCGUGUAUGAAGAAGGCCUUCGGGUUGUAAAGUCCUUUCAGCGGGGAGGAAGGGAGUAAAGUUAAUACCUUUGCUCAUUGACGUUACCCGCAGAAGAAGCACCGGCUAACUCCGUCCCAGCAGCCGCGGUAAU